AGAGGAUUAUAUAUUUACAUUAGAGAGUGGAUACUCUAAUCUUUCUGGCAUUGUAAAACUGAAGCUGGCUGCAGGGAAAAUAAACAUUAUAAUACCCAGCACUUAAACAAUUGUACCUAUAUGGUUAAGUAACAAAAGCGUGAGGCACCUGGAAUCACAGUAUUUGUGCCUAAUGCCAGCAACAAUAUAAAGCAUUCAAGUGACAUUUGAUAAUGAGCAGACAGUGGAGGCAUUACACACGUCUUUAGAAGAAUCAGACUUCCUACCUUGAAAAGACAGAUGGAGAUUUUAAGAUGAACAUCAGUAAGGAAAAGAAUCCUUUUGAAAAACUUUGGUGUCUGCAAGGCAUUCCUAAAGAAAGCCAGAAAGCCAAGUGACUUAUACAAAGAAGAUAUCUACCUGAACACUGAACCCUAAAAAAAUGGAUCUACAUGCACCUGCUAUCACUCAAGAAGGAAGUCUGCCAGAAGGAAAUGACAUUCAACCUGAGAUGGAUGGAGCCAGAGUGGCAGCUAGCUAAUGACCUUGACCUCAGUGAUGUAAAAGCUUUAUAGAUGGGCUCUAAAUCCAGUGACAAGUGUUCUUAUAAGAUACAGAAGGAGAGGAUGCAGUGACACUGAGGAGAAGGCCACCAGAGGCACAGACUGGAGCAACAUAGUCCCAAGCCAAGGAAUGUCUGGAGCCAUGGGAAGCCAAAUGAGUAUCCUAGAUUUGCUUAAACAGUUAACUACUGCCAAAUAUAGCAGCAGUUGACUCUCUGAAAAAGAAAAGUUGAUUGUACUGCCUGCUUGUGGAACAUGGAACAAACCAAUGCUGAUGGAUGCCCAAACAACAUGGAGGCCCUGUCUAGACUGAGCCACGUGAGUCGGGAUGGGGCCACUGGAGAAUCAGGACCGUGGACGUUGAAGUUUGAAUCUGCCAAACUUGGCAAUGGAGUUAAACUGCAACCUUAAUACAAAGCCUAGGACAAAGAAAAUCAGGGCACUGAAAUGUACAAAUAAUGUAAGCUGUAAGGUAAUAUAAAAUUUUUAUUAUCCUUUGAAUGUCACUUCUACAUAAGAAAGUAGCAUUGUUCAAAAAUGUGGGGCUAUAUGAAUCAUCCAGGCCUUCUUCAUCUUUUCCAGUUCUAUUUAGGUCUUUAGAAGAGAAUGUUGGGUAUUGAUAUGGUUGGGCUGUGUCCCCACCCAAACCUCAUCUUGAA